GGCUGGUCCUAUGGUAGUGGGUUAUCAGAACUUAUUAACAUUAGUGUCACUAAAGUUGGUAUACAACCCCUCACUGCUAAAUUUGAUUGGCUUUAA
ensembl:misc_RNA Y_RNA Y RNA